rnacentral:rRNA from 1 species
UACGGAGGGAGCUAGCGUUGUUCGGAAUUACUGGGCGUAAAGCGCGCGUAGGCGGCUAUUCAAGUCAGAGGUGAAAGCCCGGGGCUCAACCCCGGAACUGCCUUUGAAACUAGGUAGCUAGAAUCUUGGAGAGGUCAGUGGAAUUCCGAGUGUAGAGGUGAAAUUCGUAGAUAUUCGGAAGAACACCAGUGGCGAAGGCGACUGACUGGACAAGUAUUGACGCUGAGGUGCGAAAGCGUGGGGAGCAAACAGGAUUAGAUACC